CACUUGCAGCCAGGAAUUAGAAAGGACUCGGGCAUCUUCUGUGGCGAUCACUCGUGGCUGAGUAAGAUUGUCUUCCAUGAACGCGGUCUUAACAGUGUGUCCGUAAGUGACUGUGGAGGCCAAUUCUGGAUCCACAUGUCCUUUCACAGUGGGGACAUAGGUUUCCGGGUUGAUCACAGUGAGGAUUUGCCAAACGUGCUUUCCUCUUAGCUCGUUUCUUCCUUUCAUCCUGAGUUCGUGCUUCUUCAAAGUCCAUGACACCUUUGGUAAAGGCUGUUCUCCAAUUGGUGCGCUUACAGGCCAGUGUUUCCCAAUUUUCCAUCCUUAUACUGCAUUUUUAAAGAUUUGCCUUGAGAGCGUCCUUAAACCUCUUUUGUUGUAUUUCACUUUCUAUUCUUAAGUUGGGAAUAGAGUAGUUGCUUUGGAAAACUCAGACAUACAGCCCUGCCUGCCCCCAACUCACAAUACUAUGUACAGUGGAACCUUGGUUCUUGAACCUAAUCCUUUCCAGAAGACUGUUCAACUUCCAAAACGUUCGAAAACUGAGAAUCGGCGGUCUGCAAAAUCCAUUGAAAAAAUGGAGAAACGCUCCUCAGAAGCCCUUCGACUUCCAAGGCGCAUUUGAAAAUGGAAGCAAUUGCUUCGGGGUUUUCAGCGUUUGGGUUCCGAAUUCUUCGGCUUCUGAGACGCUUGAAAAUUGAGGUUCAACUUUGUAUUGGGAAAUACUUCUAGAUGCAGACAAGUAUUCGGUGGCUAAAAACAUUGCACACAGAUUUAUUUCCGCUCUUAUCUUGCCCCCACCCCCACCAGUAGGCAUUCAUUUCCAAAUGAGGAUAACUUUUAUGGUUAGUGCAAACCCUUGAAAUCUUAAGGGCAAACUGCUUCCUUUGUUGCCAUGGCUUCCAUCGAGCAGGAGCCAGUGGAAUCCAAUGGGACUCUUUCCAAUGCAGAGCAAUGUUUUGUUCCAAAGAACACAAAGUGAUCUCUUUACUGUCUGGAACUCUUUAUUGUUAGAUGCCCUCAACCUUUGUGCUGUUGCUUUGGUAUGAACCGGAGCCUCAGCAGCAAGCAGCCUUAUCCAAGAUGUCACUGCCGAGCCUUCCUCUCGCCAGCUCAGAAAGGCUGCAAUGGGUUUGUCUCAGUGGGGAUGUUGCUCUUUGCAUAUCUUACCGCAGCAGCAUUUUCUGCCGGCGCCAGGCCUUCAGCCAUUCGUUUCUCAUGCAGAUGUUGUUACCCCCCCAAUUCCAUCAUGUCAAGCUGAGGCUCAGAAACAAUGACACCUGACACAAUGUGAGUCUCCUGUUGUCGACAUGAGGGGGGAAAGCCGUUGGCUGAGACAGUGGUUAUUCCUAGAUGGUUUUAAAGAUGCAACAUCUCGUAAAUGAUGCCCUGGUAUAAUAUCCCCCUUUUUCUCCCUGGCUUAGCAUUCAAACUGAGCAACAAGGGUCUGUUAAUGCUUCACUUUCCAUAUGGAAGCAUUACAUGCUCUUCACUUCCCUGAGCAAAGAGAAUGUCCACAGGUUUCAGUAUUUAGUUUCCUUUGCGGCAAAAAGCACUGAAGGUUUAAAAUAUAACACUUGCUUUUAUUUACCAGGAUACAAAUAGAUACAGUCGGACACUCCUAGGAGACAAAGCCCCAACAACUUGGGCACCCCUCUCUCCUGAAUCUACGCCAAUAGAAUUUCAGCUAGAAGUGUUCAUUCUCAAAGUCUGGCAUUUGCUUUUUCUACUGUUCCUUUCUACCCCUUCCCUUUAUUGAACAUGUGUCAUUUGCUCUGAUUGGUAUUGCACUUAAAAAACGCAUAGUGGUUCCUACUUGUCAGUGGACCUUCUGCCAAGCAUUAGGUAAAGGUAAAGGUACCCCUGCCCAUACGGGCCAGUCGUGUCCGACUCUAGGGUUGUGUGCCCAUCUCACUUAAGAGGCCAGGGGCCAGCGCUGUCCGGAGACACUUCUGGGUCACGUGGCCAGCGUGACGAAGCUGCUCUGGCGAGCCAGCACCAGCGCAGCACACAGAAACGCCGUUUACCUUCCCGCUAUAAAGCGGUACCUACUUAUCUACUUGCACUUAAGGGUGCUUUCGAACUGCUAGGUGGGCAGGAGCUGGGACUGAAAGACGGGAGCUCACCCCGCCGCGGGGAUUCGAACCGCCGACCAUACGAUCGGCAAGUCCUAGGCACUGAGGUUUUACCCACAGCGCCACAGUUCCCCUUGAUUAGUUCGUCAGUCAACCAUUCUUGAAUAUUAUCCCCCAAUACAUCUAAUGAAAGACUGGUUGGCUGACAGACAUAACAGAAAUUUAACCGGUUAGGCUUUGUUUUGUACCAUUCAAGGAUCGUAAGCUCUCUUCAAAAUUUCUAACUUCUAUUGAGGAUGGGGGGGGGUUGACCUUAGAACAUUUAAUUUUAUUAAUUUAAAAGGAUUUCGAAACCACUUAAUCUUUAUAAGCAGUAAAGCAAGACAGGCCAACCUGAUUUGUCCAUGAGACACACACAUUAUGACACCACAGCCAGAAAGACUCUAGCUGCUUCCAGAGUUCUAGAGUUGAGGAAUUAAAUUGAGAAAUUCCAGUAUGAACUGACUUGAUCCACACCUCCAAGACCAAUGAAGGUUUGGGAUUCAGUUAUCCACUGUUUUGAGAUAAUAUAUGUUUGGAAAUACAUAUUUUGAAGACAAAUAUAUUUAGAAAGAUAUAUUUUGAGAGAAAAAAUGUAGAUUUACCAAUAAGUAUUUAAAUGGGAAUUUUGGUGCAGGCUUGUUUUGGGUGAAAAACAGAGGUUGGUGUUGAAAGGUAGUGAGGUAACAUAGGUAAAAAGGUGAUAGAAGAGUGCCUAACCACUCUAAAUGAAUUUUGGGGGCAAGGCAAAUUAUAUCUCAGGGUACUAAAGGGAUUCUGAGAGACUGGAGGCAGGGAACUGUUAUUCUCACCCACGAAAAGGAGAGAAAAAAGAGAGCACACAGACAGCUACCGACUAGUUGUCUUGAUGCCCAAACCUUGUACGUUAUCAUUAAGCAGUCAGUCUGUAAUCAUUUAGGAAAGAAACACAGCAACAUGGGUUUUGCGUGCCAGACCAACAUCACCUAUAAUUUUAUGAAACAGAACAGAGCACAUUUAUGAAAGAACCCGUGUAAACAUGACACAGAAAGAAAACAGGCUGCGCUGUUUGUCCCCCCUUCCUUUCUUCCUUUUCUGUCAUGUCACUUACUACAAAACAGUCCUCCUGAACUCCACGCUGGUAUACCUCAGCAACAAAGUUUUUGGUUGUUGAAACAAUGCAUCAACAACAUGGGAGUGUAGCUAUUCUCAACCAGGGAUGGGGAACGUCUUUCAGCCCAAGGACUGCAUUGCUUUCUGGGUAAGGUAACCUUCCAGGUGACACAUUGCAGAGGUGGGUAGGGGGUAGAGGAAAGAGUGGACUGAGCAAUGAAUGAGAAUUUUAACAUGGUGCAAUGGGCAUGGUUAGGGGAAGUGACCUGGGCUGCGCCUUUGCUGCUAGUGAGGUAUGCAUUUUUCCUAGUUCUGUAACUUUCUAGCUCUCUCAUUCCUCCUCCUCCCUUUGCUGUUAGAAGAUUAUGGUUGAUAUUUCCCAUAUGUGAAGACCACAGCAGGGUUUCAAGUGUAAGGAAACAGCAGAAUAUAUUAAGAAACAUGUUAGAGAGGAUGAAAUUAGAUAAGACGAAACCUUAAACCUCUGUUGUUUGUAAUUUGAUGUUGGGUGAGCGGGACAUCACUAGUUUUGUUGAACUGGAAUAUAAUUGUUGAGUAACAAAUGUAACUUCCUAUACGGGGGGGGGGGGAGAGAAGAAAACAUUAUUUCAAAAAAUAAGAGAAGAUUAUGGUUGAUGAUAAAAGCCCUUUGGGACGCAUCCUAUUCAGAUUCAAACCCAUCAUUUCAGAAACUUAAAGCCUUCAUUUUAAAGUCUUAAAAAUAUUAUCAGAUCUCACGGUUGAACACUGGGUUGAAUAUAAAAAGCUGUACACUAGAGGAAAACACCGGUCCAGAGAAAGAAAGCCAGCAGGAGCAAAACAGAUCACAAACCUACUUCCUUCUUUAAAGUGCUGUGAUUAAGCUACCCAUCUCUCCCACUCUCAGCAUCCAAAAGAAAAGUGUGGUCCUUCCCCCCACUCUCUGUCAGAAUUAAAGGUAUCACAAACAGCUUUCUGCUGACCUCAACCUGGCUAUUUGCCGUUAACAACCUACACCUUGCAAUGCAUGAUUCAUGCUUCCUUUUUAAAGGUAUGCUUAUACAACUGUGAUUCAGUUGUGUAAUGAUGGAAUGUGUGUUACUAGGAAACAAGUAGUGGCCCUUUCCAGGUGGUUGUUUAUUUAGUGAGCAAGUAACAAUAAAAUUCCAUAAGCUCACUUAACCCACAAAACAAAACAAAUCAAAAACAAACAAACAAAUAAACAGUUAGGAACAGCCAAGUUCUCAUUUGGCUUCUAAAUUCUAACACUCUCUGUGUCUACUGGAUGUCGAGAGUUUAGACUGGGGUAGUGUCAGGAACGCAGAUUCAUCCACAGGUCAGGAAAAGGACUCAAGAUGCGAGCUGCAAUCAGCUUUUAUUCACAAAAUAAAAAAAGCACAGUGGAGUUUAUCUAGGCUAAUCUGCCCUAGUUGAAGACAUUGCUGACGUUUGGACCCUCCUUCCCACUCUAGCCGUCUCCCAGGCAGCCGUAGACUCUUACAAGGGGAAAGGAUCUCCCUCUGGUUCUGUCUCAGCAAUGUGCAAGGCUCCUCAUGAUUUGGUUGUCUGUCAGUGGAGAAGGAGCGCUAGGUGAAGGGGAGCUGUCCAGCUGCUGAAGCAGUGUCUGGCUCCGCUCUGUCAGAGUCUGCCCUCACACUGCGACCCUUGGCACUCAUCCCUGUCCUGGAAUGGCUUUCUCCUUCUGACGCCCCCUCCCCCAUGUUCAAUCAAACCUCCUGCUUUUAUCACCUCCCAGCUUGUCCCUUCCCCAGACUGGUCCUCUGUGUCCCACCACAGAGGAAGUCUUCUUCCUCUGUGUCAUCCCUGGGGUGUUCUUGGGUGGGUGGCACCCACCACUCUUUCCCGUCCAGCCAGUCCCCUAGGUGCCAUCCAGAUAUUCUGGGUCACAACUCCCACCAUCCCCAGCCAGCAUGGCCAAUAUUCAGGGGUGAUGGCAACUGUACAACAACAACAUCUGGAGAGCACCACAUUUGUAUUAGUAAAGGAAAUGUUGGUCUGGGGGCACCUUUGCCUGGUUACUGUGUAAUUCUGCCCUCAAGAGGUUAUUAUUAACUCAGGGUAACCACUCUUAAGAUCUCAGCACUUUUCUCCUGAGUACCUCUGACUAUGCAACAAUGACAAAGGAAUGACAAGGCACAGGCAACUCCCAAUUUACGCAGGGGUUAAGUUCCAAGGCACCAUGUGUUUAAGUGAAAUUGCGUAUAUUUAAAACACCAUUGAAACAGUCUGCAAACACCCCAUUCCACCCACUCUGCCCCUUUUUGUGGUGCGUUUGUGUCACUUCUGGGUUGAGCGUGGUUAUGCACAUAUUGGACACGUCUAAAAUGGUCCCUGCCUGUAUUAUAAUUGUUGUUGUUGUUGUUGCUUCUAGCUGUCAUUUGAUGCUCUCAGGAUGAAUCACGAUUAAUGCUAUCAUUAGAAUAAAAAAAAAUUAAACCACAAAACCAGCCAUUAACAAAACUAACAAAACAGCUGUACAAAUUCAUACCAGUUUUAUGUCGGUUAAUUAUAGAGAGCUUUUUCUCAGUAAAUCUUGUGCACUGAAGCACUGUUAGGGUGCCUUUAGCUUUUCCUAGUUUCUUCCUCAGCAGUCCCCUAUGUCCUUGACAAUAUCACAUUGGUUGGGAUGCUGUACUGGGUGCUUGAAUGCAAAAACCAGAUAAAUUUAGUUCUGUGUGCCGAAACAGUUUAAUGAUUUACUUUGAAGUUUUGGUUCCCCAUCCUGGUUCAUUUCCCCCUUAUUAAAAUAAAGAUGGUUAGCUUUUGGCUUCAGUGAUUCACAAUGAGUCUUGUAACUUGCCACACCUGUAACUACCUUUAGAGUGCUAAUCUGGCCAAGCAAGAACAGAUCACAAAAAGCAGCCACUGUUUUAAACACUGUUUAAUUGUAAUAACAUUUCAGGCAUGUGUAAUACAUUCGGAUAAAAGCCAAUAACAAUUACUGAUAACAGUGAAUUAAAAAUAACAAAAAAUCUUGAGACUUGCUAAGGAUUAUCUAGUCACAAUGAUAUGGUUUUCCCAACAUCAAAAUGCAAUUUUGUUUCUGCUCUUUCAAACAUCAGGCACAGAUACGGCUCAUUAAUUUGGGAUUAAGCUGGUGGUUACUUACUGUAGCAUGUGAAUGAUUUUCAAAUAUUCUUUGCCCCCAUCCUUAAGAACAGCAGCAUCCCAUGUUGAGGAUGAUCCAAGGGGAUGGGAGGCAAGCGCUACAUGUUAAGCAAAAUACACACAAACACUGUAAUUUAUCAGUGCUGACAUAUUUAUUACACAAUUUGUUCGGAGCAGACUCUGGCGCCGUUUAAAAUAAGCAUUCUCAACAUUCAGAGCAAUUUAUCUAACUCGCUUGGAACAAACUGUCCAGUGGGGCAUGCUCAAAUUUGUAUACAAUUUACAAAGUGUGUUGGACCCCUGUAGAGCUGCUAGAAGUUCUCCUUUUCAACAAGUACUGAGUUGUUUUCUCUGAUUUUAUGUAUUAAACAGGCUUUAUAUACUGCUUAAUCAUAAAAAACCAAGCAGUUUACAGAAAGUAUGUGUUAUGUACUCAGUGGUCUGGACCAGGAUUCUGUGCCCCUCUGUUUUGAUUUGAUACAUGAUAUCCAAUCAUGUAGCAUUGUCAGGAUUUGGGUUGCUGGCAUUGGCUCUUAAGCUCUGAGUUACGAUUCGCAGCUUGGGGUUUUAGACAGCCAAUCACAUUGAGAGUGUGAGUGGCCCAGGACUUCAGAAAGAUGUACAUUAUUAGUUGCUUUGCCCCUGUUGCUCUGUUCUGUUUGCUCAAUAAAGUCUCUUGCUGUAAUCACUAUGUCUCACCUCGUAGAAACUCACGCAUACUUCAGCAUGCAUUCAAAUUAGCCUAUUUCUGCCCCUCAGCCCCCAAAAUUGUGGGAUAUUAACUAACAAAUAUUAAAAUACAUACUGUAUGUUCAUGUCUUGGUAGGCUUGCUUCUUAUCAAUGACACCUUCUGAUAUUUCCUGCUUUCUGGAAAGGCUGGUGAAUGGUGUGGUGGAAUUCUCUGAGGAAUUCUCACACUAUGACCCUCAAUGUUAUAAAAUGCAAAGCCCAUCUAAGAUAGCUUCUUCGUGCAGGAGGGACUUUGUCCCAGAUUUUAUCUUGUGAACCACCAUGAGAUCUUUUGAUGAAGGGUGGUAUAUGAUGAUGAUGAUGAUGAUGAUGUCAGGGAGUUCCAAAGUGUGGCUGUUGCCACACUGAAAUAUUGAUUCUUUGAAAGUGUGGAACAAACACUAUGUGACACUUGUAAAAGUGCCAAUCCCACAGAUUGAAAUGGUUGUGUGUGUGUGUGUGUGUACAGUGCUUUUUUCUAAAAAAAAAAUGUUUAGGGGUACUCUCAUUUUCCUACUCAUAUUGAAAAACUGCCCCUCAAUAAAGCCAAACUUAGAUUCACAAAAUGUUUAGGGGUAUGCGUAACAGAAAAAAGCACUGGGGGGGGGGAGAUAUUGCAAAGAAACUGCUUCAAUAGUAGCAUCUUGAAUUUGAAUUUGGCCCAGUAACAAAUGAGCAGCCCAUACAGAUUUUUGAGCAGAGGUGUAUAUGCUGACAAGGUCUCACUCCUGUCGGCAAUCAUUCUGUAGCAUUUUGUGCCAGUUGCAGUAACUUCCUGCUGAAAUGCCCCCCCCCCCCCCGCUUUAAUAUUACACAUGUUCUAGUUUACUUUUGUCCCACUUCUGUUGUGCCAUGUCCUCUCUGGAAAGCAGUAGUAUUGGCGAAGCAGCACAGAACAAAACAAGGCGGGAAAAGCCUAAUACACCAUUAUUGUGUCAAAAACAUGUUUCAGAAUACACCCACAUAAAACACCAGUCCGAAGGGGCCCUGGGAUCUGUACCAUUAGUUAUCACGUGGUUCCAAGUAUGUGUUGAGAAAAAGCUAGAAAGUGAGUUCAGGUGUACGACUUUGAUGCUGGGCCACAGUUCAGGACUACGCAGGUGAAGAAAAAGGCUUGCAGCAGUAUCAGUUAAUAGAUAACAUUGACCAUUGAGGAAAAUACUAAUUGGAGCCACUGUUGCAGAGAGGGGGAAAUUUGCCUCCCGCCAUGACAAUGAAUGGUUCAGCCCUUACUAAUAGGUAUGGUGAAGAGUACUGCAAUGCACCUCUGGGCAUAAAGGAUACAUCAACACAUGACUACCAAAAUCCUCACAAUAUAUUCAAGCUUUCCUUGCACACAUGCCUACCCAGUCAUAUUGACAUUUUUUCCCCCUAGCUAUAAAUAAGAGCAUCUCUUCCGAUUCCUUCCCAUUAGAUUGUUGUGCCUAUAUUUCAGCAUAGUAACUGCAAGGCAUUUACCUACUGACAAAACUUUAGUGAGCUGUCCAAAUCAUAAAUAUAGUUUGCAAUUGGCUGUGCUGGGUUUUUUGCCUUUUCUUUUUGCAAGCAGAGAUAAAUAACCAGGACCAUGUAAAUCCAUCUUUUCAUAUAUCUCCAUGCUGCCUUCUGAUCUCACAUUCUGUAUAUUCCUCAUACCCUGAAGCAGUGCUUUUUUUUCUAGAAAAAUAGGCGCAGGAACUCCCCCCCCCUUUUUUUUAAGGACAACCCUAUAUUGUUGAGCUUUUUUGGGGGCGGGGGCUUUUUUCAACCCCUGCCCGGUGGCAGAAAACCAGCACUGUAAAGAGAAGUGCUAGAUAAAGUGGUUAGUGGUUGAGAGUGGCAGUCACCAUCUUCAUUUCCCCAAGUCAGCAGCUCAGUCUGAAGGUUUCAAUUUGCUGUCUCUCUUUCCAUUCAGAAAAUCCUCUCUAACCUAGCUUCCAGGUACGUCCUCUUUCUCAUUCUCCUAAGCACAACUGUGUUGUUUUGAAAUUAGCCUUCCAUUCCCACAUCUCCAACAACUCCUUCAGCAUGGAACAAUCAGAUCUCUGUUUCCAACUGGCCCGGUGACAAGAUAAGGGCCUCUUUUCUUCCAGACUAAUACUUUAUUACCAACUAAUAGUUGCUUCAGGGUUUAGGAUAAAAAGUAAAACUCACCACAGGGAGGAUUUCAGAGACUGAGAGUAGCUUUCUGCCAAAUGGUUCACGGCAGCUCAGCAAUUAUCCCAUUCCUUUAUUUCUCAGAAGGAAAGCACGCUCCCCAAGUCUCUUGCUAUAAAACUGUAAAAUCCAUAUAUAUAUAUAUAUAUAUAUAUAUAUAUAUGCACAUGCUGAUUUAACAUGAAAAUUAUAUUCAUUGUAAAUGUUUUCCUGGCAAUUUGCUUGUCAUAAAUGUCAAUUGCAGUGAAAAAUCUCGGUGGGGAACUGGAUGUGUUUAUUCCGUACGUAGCGAUGAUUUGUUUGAAAAAAGAAAAAAGAAGAUACAAUGACAAUAGAAGUACAAAUAUUAUGAUUUUUAAAUUCUCUGGAAGACUGAAAUCAGAGUUAACUCAAACAUCAUUCCCACGCCGCAACUUUUAGAAAUGUGUUACUUCUCCUAUAGCGAUUGCAGAGCACAUUAGCAUAAGAUAUGAACAAAUAAAAUAGCAUGUCGUAGAGCUAAUUCUAAUUGCCCCAGCUAAAAAAUGUACCGUGUUUGCUGUCACCUGAUAUUCUUGGUCUGCAAGAAUUUCCCCAGCCACUCUGUGCGGUUUUCAGGCCUCCUUUCAGUGAUUUCAGUCCCCUUUCACACAAGAUAUUUUCAGGUGAUGUAAUUUUAAGUGACUUCUUCCAGAAACUCCUGACUUUUUCCAGCUGCCAGCAGGUAUAUCUUUUGAUAUGAAGCUUAACUAAAAUAAUCACAUAUUCCUUCCGGCUUGCCCCUUCCUCCACUUCUCUCAUCUUGCUUUGUUGUUUCCCGGGUCAUUCCACGUUAGUUCAACACAGUCAUGCCACCCACUGUCUUGGAUUUUGAUGAAACUUGGUGUAGACCUUUCCCUUAUGGUUGAAAGAAAACCCCUUAAUUUUUUCCCCUCUAUCACAAGGUCAAAUUCCAUUAUAUUGCAAGGGAAGACAUAGACAUAAUCCACUCUUCCUUCGAAACCCGUUUCAGAGACAUGCACACACUCCCUGGAACUCGCAAAUUCCACAACUUUAAACCACUCAAUUCUACAGGCACAACUGAAGCAAAAAGAAUGAGCAUUAAUACAGAACCCUCCCUCACUUUCAACCUCAGGAGCCUCCCCAAACUUCCUAUGAAUGUGGAUGAUCUGUAUCCUGAAUGUUUUGUCGCUUGCAAGCAUGAUCAUUUGUGGUACUUUGGAAUGAUAUCAGAGAUUAAUCAAGACGAGGAAGAUGCUUUUGUAAAAUUUCUUCACCCUAAUGGACCUUCACCUUCAUUCUGCUGGCCAUGCCAUGACGAUUCUUGUGUAAUUCCGUUUCCUCAUAUGCUUGGUAUUGUACAACCCCCACAGACAAUAACUGCAAGAAGAUACUUCUUUCCCAAUGAGUGUGUGGCAUUGAGGGAAGAAAAAAUGAAAAACUUACAGGUGAUACUGAGGCUACAGAAAGAAACUGAGGAACAUUGAACUUGUAAGGUAAUCAACUGGGGUAAUAGCAUAUUCUGUUAUGGUAAUUUUUUACUUUAGUUUAAUUUUUGUCCGUGUUGUUAUUAAUGUACAGUAUAUGCUGUCAUAAAACUGCCUUAUUGUGAAUUACACCUCAAUAUAUUUAACAUAAAUGUUUAAAAGGCUCCAUGCAUCCAUUCUUUCAAGAUGGCACACAAAUAUCAUUCUCUCCCCCCCCCCCCAAUUAAGAUAGGCAUGUCUUUGUAUGCAAUAAUGUUCUGAAAAACGAAUUGGGGAUAAUGUAAUGUUGCAAAAUUGAAAAUAAUCCAUCAUUUUAAAUUCUUUUAAUCUUUUUCUUGCUAGGUCUUAUUUCCUUACAUGUCAGCAUUUAAAGUUUCUGACCGAUUUUUUUAAAAAGAUUGAUUUCACGAUAUAGCCAAUUUUCAUAGUUUUAAAUACCCUAAAACUGAAAAAGAAGUCUGCACUUUUGAAAAAAACAAACCCCUGUAAUAACCAAUAUUAUUUUAGCUUUUAAGAUGAACAACUUUGUUUCAUUAUUUUUUUCGAUUACACGCUGAAAAUUUAGGUUUUCUAAGCCUAGUUUUUCCACCAAAAAACCCCUACAUUUAUACAUUUUUAAGGCAUCUAUAAAAUCAUUUGAGUGCUGGUAUAUUUUUUCCUUAAAUCCUCAUCAUGUUAUUGAGCUCUGUGUAAAAUUUCAAAGAGAUCUGAUCAUUGGUUAUGGAGAAAAAAAAUAAAAUGUACUGAAGGCCAAGGAUUUCAAGAGGGACAGAAACGCAGAUUUCACGAAACUUUGAAGUGCUAUAAAAUCGAAACUGUUUGUGAUGGGGGGGGAAUAAGGGGGUUUCUUUCAACCAUAAGAGCAGGGUGUACACGAAGUUUCAUCAAAAUCCAAGAUGGUGGGUGGCAAAACCAUUGUUUUUUGCAUUGAUUUGAUAUAGAAUGACCCUCCCUUGUGUCUAUUAUUGUGCUGCACACCCUUAGGAAGUAGGUAGUAGCUGUCCUCUCAUUCUGUGGAAACUGGAUGUGCAAAACUAGUGACAAGCAUUCAUCCUGAUUUGUUUGUAAGGAAAUUAGAAAGCAUGGACUGGUUCAUGAAGUUAGAUGAUGUUGUGUCAAAGCAAGUGUUACCACCACACCUACCGGUCUUUUUUCCUGUCAUUUUCCUUGUAGCAAAAAGACCACUGUUUUGGUGAAGCAAGACCUCCCAGUCAAUCUUAAUUGCUCAACCUACAUUUGCCUGUAUGUGAUGAAGUUCCAUCCCAAAAUUGUGACAGCCUAGAAGCAGCCCAGAGGGGACGCGGGUGGCGCUGUGGGUUAAACCACAGAGCCUAGGACUUGCCGAUCAGAAGGAUGGCGGUUCGAAUCCCUGUGAUGGGGUGAGCUUCCGUAGCUCGGUCCCAGCUCCUGCCAACCUAGCAGUUCGAAAGCACAUCAAAGUGCAAGUAGAUAAAUAGGUACCGCUCCAGCGGGAAGGUAAACGGCGUUUCCGUGUGCUGCUCUGGUUCGCCAGGAGCGGCUUAGUCAUGCUGGCCACAUGACCCGGAAGCUGUCUGUGGACAAAUGCCGGCUCCCUCGGCCAAUAAAGCGAGAUGAGCGCUGCAACCCCAGAGUUGGUCACGACUGGACCUAAUGCUCAGGGGUCCCUUUACCUUUACCUUUUAGAAGCAGCCCAGAGCUGUGACAAUGAAAUCCCUUGAAACCAGAGAUCUGCCUGAUUUGAUGGGGAGAUGGAGUUGUGGUUCUAGAGCUCUUUUGUAUAUCUCAUAAUGUUGUAGUCUGCUGAAGAUAUCUAAUUUGGCACAGUAUUAAUAGGUCCGUAUGCAGGUAAAUGUGGGGCAUUUUUUCAGCUGGAACUUGCCAGAAGUCAGUUCUGGCACCUCUCAGGUGGGUGCCUUUGCCAUUAUAAGAGAACAAGGGAGGUGUUUGUGGUGAGUUCCAGCACCUUUUUUUCUAGAGAAAUAGCACUGGUAGAUGUAUCCGAUUUCCCUCCUCUACUACAUACUGAUUUGCUUGAUAGUACUUGGUGGGGAUGUCAAAUUUUAGGUGUCAGUGUUUGCUCUGUAUUUCCUCUCUUAGAUGGGGCAGUUUAUUUUAUUUUAAUGCAUAACUAAAGAAUAAAAAAGGAGACAUGAAAUGAAAUUUAACAUUGACAGUAAAGUUGCUACACAUUCAUGCCAGCUGAAGAGAGAUCCUGGAAUUUAACAAUGCCUAGAUCUAAUAAACCACAUAAGUGUCCUUUUCCGGGAAGAUUCAUUCCCAUUUAUUAUUAUUUUUUAAAGUGAGGCAUACAAUUCCAUCUGACAGCUUCUUGCUUAAAUGUCACAAAGACGGCCCAAAUUAAAUCAUGCCUCCCAUAGUCUGCAAACCCCAGAGAUCCAUUCCAAAAUAUUGUAUUUUAAAGAUAAGCUCCGCUCCCUCUUUCUCUUUUCCCCACGUCGCAAAUCGCACACAUCAAGUGUUGCAAGGAGGAUUAUGAAAAAGUACUAGCUGUGGGGUGGUUUCAGAAAUUUCAAUGCUUGUAAAGGGAACCUCAGGCUGUUAGCAUGUUUUUUACUUUCUUUGACAGCGAGUAAAUGUUCUGUGGCAGGGCAAAUCUACAGGAAAUAAAAUUUUAUGAUGCACCGUAGCCGUAGUGGUUAUAUAUCUAUACGCUGCUGGCAGCCCAUCAAAAGAUACACAUUUUCCAUGUGAUAUAUAUAUAUAUAUAUAUAUAUAUGCGCGCAAGCAGCUUGACUCCUGUAAUCAUAAACGCAGACAAGUGUACUCUGCAUACACGUACCAGAUGAUGCCAAUUUCCUGUAAUAGAGUGGGUCUGCUACUGGAUCCGGCCAAUAAGAUCAAAAAGCCCUGAAAGGCAAAAGGAAGUGCAUUCGGUUCUGCCUAAAUCUGGAGAGCAAACCACUUGGUUUCACAUAAAAGGAAGCUCCUCCAGGCAUAUUACUCUAAACCUUCCUGUCUUCCAUCGCGUUCGGAGGCUUUUUGGAAUUGGAUAAGUGUGCUAGCUCAUUAUCUCUCUGGCUGCCCAAGCCAUGCCAACCAAACCUAAGGCCAAAUCCUCUCACAUGACCUGCUAACAGCAGUCCGUUGUAACAAGGUAGACUCAACAGCCAUUGUUCAUAUGGAUGUAUUACCUUCGCAGCAAGAUUGGCACAGGCGUUUCACUCAUUGCAAAGUAACUAACCUGGGUUUGUUAAUGAGCGGCUCCUGACUCUCUGUAGGUCUCCUUUGCACAAUUCAAUUUUAGGUGUGCGCUUAUGAAAAAUGGCUAAGGGGAAUACCUCAUGCUGAUGAGAGGUGCGUCAUACUGAAGUAACGAAAGUAGAUGGACUGAUUUUUAUUUUAUUUUUUAAUGGAGGCCAGGGCAAAUUUCCAUGCAGGAUUUAAGAGAAUAAAGGUUUGUGUUCUCUUGGUUGGGAGAUGGAACUUGGAAAGACUGAUGGAACAGGAGAGAGAAUAGGUAAAUUUCUCACAUUGGUUUAUUUAAAUGACUGCCCUCAUUCUUCAGCUGUGGAGUUUGAGGGCUGUGUUGUUCUUUAACUGCUGGCUUUGCAGUGCUUUUAAUAAGAGUGGUUGGCCAUUUCUAUAAGUCUUCCUCACCUCAAAUACUCUGUUUAGACCAGGAUGGUCCAACUUUUCAUACCAAGUGAGCUGCAAGAGUACUUUGACAUGGAACCCGCAGGCUAUCACUGUCUUGUGUGGGGGAGAGGCCAAAAUUUGACGCCCCCCUCACCACCCAGAUUUUAGGAGGCUGGGAUUAGGUUGGCCUGUUGCCAACACUGUCACUGGAUUUCUAUGUGCUUUCUUCUCAAUGAUUUAUUGUUCUUGUUGCAUGGUGUAAUUGGAUGGUGAUAAUGUUUUGAGCAGCUUAAUUGUAUUUUAUUCGUUUAUCGGAGCUACCUUUUGGGGGUGGGGUGAGAGUGUGUGUUUGGCUUUAAAGGGCAGAAAGAAAUUAUAUCCAUGUGGAUGCAACUGCCUUGCACAAAGGGAUCAGCAGAGAGCCCCACAGAGCCAUCUUCCUUGCCUGGGCUGGCGCAGGAGCAAGAUCAUACCAUAUAGAGCACCUAAUGUUUGCUUCUUACAAAAGUCCCAAGUGUUCAUCCUGUCAUCCCUUUCCUCAGGUCAGACAUGCAUCAGGUAGGAAUAUCUUGUGGACUUGAGUCACAAGGAGGAGAGUGACAGCUAGAUGAAAGCAAGGCAUCUCCACAUGGGCCUCAUGGUUUGUUUUUUAAGUGUACGAAACACUUUAAAAGAAAAUUAGAAUGCAAAUCAAACAAGCCUGCAGCAGGACCCACACUAUGUAUCCCAUCCCCUUAUUAAGUAAAAAAGAAAGUGGGGGGAGCAAAAGAUGGGCUCACCUGCUGCUGAGGACCGGAAGGGCCUUGCCUGCCUCCUUCCAUCUGGGCAGAGAGGGCUCCAUUUGUUUUUUUUAAAAAAAUUGCUUUUAUUUUUUUAUCUAUGUCAUUUUAAAUUGUAAUUGAUAUUAAUGCUGUAUUCUUAGUUUUAGAUUUUAUGAUUUAUGUGGAAAUUGUUUUCCAUUUGGUUGUGUACUUUUUGAUGUGUUUUAUUUAUUGCUUAUGACUUUUGUUACGUUGGUAAUUAUGUAAAUCUGGUCGUGUUGUAAGCCGCCUUGAGCAUUGUUUUAACUAUGGAAAGGUGGCAUAUAAAUAAAAUGAUGCUGAGGAAAAGAAGAAUGAGAUCAGGAAGAUUGAAGGGAAAGUGAGGCAAGCCACAAGAAAUACCUAAAACUAGGGGGAGGCUAGGAUUCAAAAAGAUCUACACAUUCAGACCUGAGAGCAGCAAAAUUAGUGUCAGGUUUAUUAAACACUGUUCCUAAUAGCUAGCAUGUGACACUGUGCAUGCAACCAGGUGCCAAUUGAGAACGAGGAGGGAUCUUGUAAUGACUCUUCCCAGGCUCAGUCAGCAUAAGAGUCGAUCUUGCCCUGAACACAGGUACGGAAAAUGCUUUAAUUAGGAACGGAGUAUCCAGAUAAAAGAAAUUUGCCUGGGAGAGAUGCUUCUCCUGUGUUUUUGCAAACCGUGAGAUCAGCCGGUGCAUUGCUUUCACCUUGGGAACAUCCUAUGAAAGAUCAUUCUGGCUUUCCAUGAGGCUCCCUUUCAUUUACCAGCUAUGAUAGAUAAAUAGAUAAAGAGAGAGAAAAACAGAGACAGAGAGAUUUGUGCGUGUGUGUGUAUCUCGCAUACUGAGAGAGAGAAAUUCAGGGCAGCGCUGAGGAAAAAAGUGAUAGAAGCCCAAGCUGUGAAAACAUCCUCGUUAGACCCACCAAUAAAAAAUUUAAGAUAAUUGUAAAUCGGUUGUGUUGUCAAGAAAGCAAUGGAGAGUGCAGAGGCCCUGUCUCAAAAUGGUGGGGGGCAGCUUGCAUUGAAUUAAGGAGACUAGCAAGGCAGACUGGAAGGGAACAGCUGCUGCUCCUCAGCACCACCAUAUGUGGAUCUAUAUGUUCAAGAGAGCACAGGGACUUUGGUUUCCUCGGGUUGUGCUCAGCAGGUCUAUUAAGAAGGUGAUCUUUCCAUUUUCGGCAAGAGGGUAGCAACUCCCACAGAGAUAGAAGAUAAAUUGCUGUGUGCAUUAAUUACACUGUGUGCUGGGAAGUCUGAGGUGAAAGACAUUCAAAAAGGACAGCUUUGGGCAGGGCUAGGACAUCAUGCCUUUGUUGCCAGCUUCUGAGAUUAGCCUGGCAGUGCUGCGCUCAAGUUUUCGCUAGAAGCUUGAAUUCGCUUAAUUAUGAGAUGAUCCCUCUUUUUUACUUGAACAAAAAAAUAGGGGGGGGCAUUUGGCCCUUGGGUAUUCUUUUGGCAGAAGUGAUCUGAAACGUACACAUAUAAUUCCUACUGUCUUCCAGUGUUUUGAGUGAUCGCUGAUCAAUCAGAGGUGGAUUUUCUCAAGACGAGGGUAAUUGUGCAGGCAUGCAAGUCCCGUCAUUCCUCAGUACUUGAGGACUGGGAGUCAAAGGUGUAGGAUGGCUCCAAUGAAAAGCGAUGGAGAUGGAGGGGAAGUGAAAAGGCAGCCUAUGGUAUUAUGGCCCGUUCAAACAUGCAAGUCAUUUCUUCCUCAGAGAAGAAUAUUAAAUAAUCGACAAGAGAGAGGCAUAUAAAGAUUAACUUUUGGAAUGACAAAAUCAAUGAUAAUAUAGUUCUGUAUAAUGCUUUCCCACCCAUAUUAUUUUGUGUUCUCUUUUCCUUAGAUACAGUGGUACCUCGGUUUACAAACUUAAUCCAUUCCGGAAGUUCGUUCUUAAACCAAAGCCGUUUUUAAACCAAGGCGUGCUUUCCCUAAUGAGGCCUCCUGCCGCCGGUGCCCUUUGACCAUUCGGCUUCCGUUCGUAGACCGAGGUAAAGUUCGCUAACCGGAACACCUACUUCUAGUUUUGCAUAGUUCGUAUACCGAAUAGUUUGUUAACAAAACUGUUCUUAAACCGAGGUACCACUGUAUAGCCGCAAUUAUAAUCUUCCUCCUUUCUUGUCCAAACAAAGCAAAUAAAGGGUGUGUGUAGAAAGGCUGUGAGGAAACGCUUAGGGUAUCUGAACCUGUGCGUGCAGAACCUGCACAAAACAAAAUACAUGCAAGCCAUUUCUUUGAGCUGCAGUUAACAAGUGAUGAGCGUGCCAUACCCUCCAACAUUUCUCCCAUGAAAAUAGGGGUGUUCUAUUCCAUAGUAGUAGUAGUAGUGGUAGUAGUAAUUUUAUUAUUCAUACCCCACCCAUCUGACUGGGUUGCCCCAGACACACUGAGUGGCUUCCAGCAUAUAAUAAAACACUAAACAUUCAACUUCCCAAGUCUUUCCAAAUGUGGUAAAUUGUUGGCAUGGCAAAUGAAAAAGAGACAAAAAUUAAAUACAAUUACGAACUUAGAAGUGGAAGGAAGAAACAUACAGAAUCCUGCAGAGAUCAGAAGUUGUUUCCAGAGGUACUUUAAACGAUUAUAUACUCAAGGGCCAUUAAAAGAAACAGACCAAUUUUUGAAAACAAAUGGAUUACAAAAAAUAUCUCAAGAAAAUAAAUUAAUUUUGAAUUAUAGAAUAACUGAACAGGAAAUAGAAGGUGCCAUUCAAAACAUGCAACUUGGUAAAUCUCCAGGACCAGAUGGCUUGACCUCUAGAUACUACAGAUCUUUAAAAGAAUGGUUAAUUCAACCUUUGAAAGAGGUCUGUAAUGAAAUAAUGGAGGGGAAAAGAGCACCAGAGUCGUGGAAAGAAGCAUAUAUUACACUUGUACCAAAAACAGAGACUGAAAAGACACAGCUUAAGAACUACCGCCCUAUAUCGUUACUGAAUGUGGAUUACAAAAUUUUUGCAGAUAUUUUGGCUAAGAGAUUGAAAAAAGUGUUGAUGGAAGAGAUUCAUAAAGACCUAGCGGGCUUUCUUCCAGGAAGACAUAUGUCUGACAAUUUGAGGAAUAUAAUUGAUAUUUUGGAAAAACUAGAAGUGAACAUAAACACUAAAGCAGUGUUGAUAUUUGUAGAUGCGGAGAAAGCCUUUGACAACAUUUCUUGGAAUUUUAUGAAGAAGAAUCUACAGGGUAUGGGGGUAGGCCAAGGUUUUGAGAAUGGUAUAAGUGCAAUUUAUUCAGAACAAAAGGCUAAACUAAUUGUAAAUAAUGUUGUGACGGAAGAACUUAAAAUUGAAAAAGGGACACGACAAGGUUGCCCAAUUUCCCCACUUCUUUUUAUCUCGGUCCUGGAGGUUCUGCUGAAUAUGAUUAGAAGGGACCAGUCGGUUAAAGGUAUACAGGUCGGAACUAAACAGUACAAACUGAGAGCAUUUGCAGAUGACUUAGUAUUGAUGUUACAGGAGCCAGAAUCUAGUACUAAAAGGGUUUUAGAACUGAUUCAAGAAUUUGGUCAAGUGGCAGGAUUUAAAUUGAACAAGUUAAAAACCAAGGUUUUAGAGAAAAAUUUAACGCCGUUUGAAAGAGAGAGGUUUCAGAAUGAGACAGGUUUAACAGUGGUUAAGAAAGUAAAAUACGUGGGGAUUAACAUGACAGCAAAAAAUGGGAAUUUAUUUAAAGAUAAUUAUGAAAAAUGUUGGUCUGAAGUGAAAAAAGACUUAGAAAUUUGGUCAAAUUUGAAGCUUUCACUGCUAGGCCGUAUUGCUGCGAUAAAAAUGAAUGUAUUGCCUAGAAUGUUGUUUCUGUUUCAAACUUUGCAGAUUGUUGACAAAAUGGAUUGUUUCAAGAGGUGGCAGAAAGAUAUUUCUAAAUUUGUCUGGCAGGGCAAGAAGCCCAGAAUAAAAUUUAAAAUUCUAACUGAUGCAAAGGAAAGAGGUGGAUUUGCCCUGCCAGACCUCAAACUUUACUAUGAAUCAGCAGCCUUCUGCUGGUUGAAAGAAUGGCUACUUCUUGAAAACACUGACAUUUUGGACUUGGAAGGUUUUAAUAAUGUAUUUGGAUGGCAUGCAUAUUUAUGGUAUGAUAAGGUCAAAGCACAUAAAGCAUUUAGAAACCACAUUGUCAGGAAAGCGCUAUUCAAUGUAUGGAUAAGAUAUAAGGACUUGUUAGAAAACAAAACCCCAAGGUGGCUGUCACCAAUGGAAGCGAAAGCCUUGAGAAAGGUCAAUAUGGAGGUCAAAUGGCCGAAAUAUUGGGAAAUUUUGGAACAAGACGGAGAUAGACUGAAAUUGCAGAGUUUUGAAAAAUUAAAAACAAAGUGCGAGACUGGCUUCAUUAUUUUCAGAUAAUGGAGGCAUUUAAAUUGGACAAGAAAAUUGGCUUCCAGGUGGAAAGAUCCAAAUUAGAAACAGAACUGUUAGAACCCAAAACUAAGAAUUUGUCAAGAAUGUAUAACUUGCUGCUGAAAUGGAAUACUCAGGAUGAAACGGUAAAAUCGGCUAUGAUUAAAUGGGCACAAGAUGUUGGACAUAACAUUAUGUUUGCUGACUGGGAACAGUUGUGGACCACAGGUAUGAAAUUUACGGCAUGUAAUGCCUUAAGAGAGAAUAUUAUGAAAAUGAUAUACAGGUGGUACAUAACCCCAGUCAAGCUUGCAAAAAUUUAUCAUUUGCCCGAUAACAAAUGUUGGAAAUGUAAGGAAACUGAAGGUACAUUUUUUCACUUUUGGUGGACGUGCCCAAAGAUCAAGGCUUUCUGGGAAAUGAUAUAUAAUGAAUUAAAAAAGGUAUUUAAAUAUACCUUCCCUAAGAAACCAGAGGCCUUUCUCUUGGGCAUAGUCGGCCAAUCGGUGUUAAAAAAGGAUAGAACUUUCUUUAUGUAUGCAACAACAGCAGCAAGAAUACUCAUCGCAAAGUAUUGGAAGACACAAGAACUUCCCACGCUGGAGGAAUGGCAGAUGAAAUUAAUGGACUAUAUGGAACUGGCGGAAAUGACUGGUAGAAUCCGUGACCAGGGAGAAGAGUCGGUGGAGGAAGAUUGGAAGAAAUUCAAAGACUAUCUUCAGAAACACUGCAAAAUUAAAGAAUGUUAGAGUGAUGUUGGACUGAAUAUAAGCGGUUUCCAGCUGCACAGGUUAAAGUUAAUGAUAGAUUAAGAUUAAAGAUUAGGUUUAAAGAUGUUUAAGGAAAUGGAAAUUUGACAAUUAAGAGGUAAAAUUUCAAUGUUAUACCACAUUAAGAUCAAAGAUUAGGGUUAAAGAAGUUGAAGUUAUAUAUUAUAUUUAAAAUUAAAGAUUGGGAUUAAAGAAAUUGCUGGACAAACAAUUUGGAUUGGAAUACAAAAGAGGGAGGUAUGAGGAAGUCCAGAAAAUAAGUAAAUUCAAAAACGGAAAUGGAAAAGAGAUAUUGUUUUUAAUUGUUAUGUUCUUUUUUAUUGUUGAUUCUUGCUCUUUGUGUUGUUGUUUUUUUAUUUUCUUUCUGGGAUUUGUAUUGUGUAUUUGUGCAUCUUUUUUAUGUUUUGUUUUUGUUUUUGUUUGGUGUUUAAUUUUUGAUUGAAACUUUAAUAAAUUUAUAAAUAAAUAAAUAAAUAAACAUUCAACUUCCCUAUACAAGGCUGCCUUCAGAUGUCUUCUAAAGGUUAUCUCCUUGGCUCGGGAGUCAUAUAACUCCAUACCCUCCAACAUUUAUCCAGUGAAAAUCGGGUUGUCCUAAGGAAAAGCAGGACAUUCUGGGAUCAAAUCAGAAACAGGGAUGGCUUCUGUAAAUCAGGGACUUUCCCUGGAAAAUAGGGAUACGUAGAAAGUCUGACAUGUAUGUGUAGACAAACUCUAAGAAUGUUGCAAUUCCAUUACCACAUGUGACAUCACUUGUACAGGACUCUGCUCCAUAGCCUGUGGUACAGCUUCAUGCUUCCCCUGUUUCUUGGUCCGUAGGGUUAAACUAUGGGUUAAACUCCAUAGCACACACACUCAAGCAGUAAGGUAUGUCUCUGGUUCCCCCUUUCUCUUCAGUUAAUCACAGACAUGAAGAGCCCAGUUGUUACUGGGACAUAGCUGUCAAUGUUUCCCCUUUUUUAAGGGAAAUCCCUUAUUCAGAAUAGGAUUCCUCGCAAGAAAAGGGAAAAGUUGACAGCUAUGUACUGGGACCACAGUUGCCGGGAUAGCCCUCUAGUUCCCGUGAAGUCAUGUGGAGAGGGGGUGAUUGCUUCUGGGAAAUGAAAGAUCGAGAGGAGGGAGUGUAAGAAGCACCACAGAGAUAUGAAGGUGACAGACCCAUGAUUCCCCCAUGGUUAUAAAUGAAGAGUUAUGCUAAUUGAAAAUGAAAACACAGAUUAUUACCUCACGAUCACUCUCAUAAUAUUUCGGAGCAGGAUAAAUCUGGCUCAGAUCUUGCCCAGAAAUGAAAUAUCUGUCAACUUUUUAUUCAUGAUACAUUUUCUCUCAAGGCAUACUCAAUCAUUUAUUUCAGGCCUUAAUCAUUUAAGGCUGCAAAAUUGAUUCAAAAUAGAGGUCAGUGUACAGGUAUAUCCUGACUUAACCUGAGGAAUGCUAAUACAUUUUGAUUGAACAGAUUUUUGCAGGAGAUUCUGAAUUGAAUUUCAGUGAGAGGGUAAACAUAGGCAUUGACGGCUAAGGAAAUUCUAUGCAUCCAAAGGGAAAUCAUAAGUAGAGUGCCCUGAAUCAAUUUAAAAUGAGAAACCUGAAGAAAGUUCUUUUUUUUUUUUUUGCAGAAGAUUUCACUUUACCCUCAUGAAUAUCACUUGGUAUUAAAAAAUAAAAUAAAAUAAAGCAGCAGCAGCAGGCACACAUUCGUAUAUAUAUAUAGAGAGAGAGAGAGAACAUCGUUGUCCAAAGUUUUUGUUUAAUGAUUUCUCCUGAUUAUCUUCUCAAACAGUUUGAUAAUAAUUACAGUGUAGGUGUUAAAGACAUUGUUUGGAUCGCUAGCUGUCCUGCCUUAGCACUGUCUAUUUUUAUUCCUCAGAGUGAACAAUGAUUUUCUUUUUUCACUGACCUCUUUUUUCAUAUUAUUGAAAAAGAGGCUCCAGGAAUUGAGCCAAAAGAACCUCCCAAGCCACUCUGGCCUUUGCCCCAGUUUUGAAAUCCUUCACAAUCAUCUUCCUCCUCUUCCUCACCAGUGACAAGUGUGAGGCUAGUAACAAAGCAAAUACAUGGAGCUCCUUGAAGGGGUAGGAAGAGAACCUAAUUCAAUAAUAAUAAUAAUAAUAAUAAUAAUAAUAAUUAUAAUUUAUUAUUUAUACCCCGCCCAUCUGGCUGAGUUCCCCAGCCACUCUGGGCGGCUCUCAAUCAAGUGUUAAAAACAAUACAGCUUCAAGUUAUCCAUAGAAAGACAUAUUAUUCCAGUGAAUAAUUUGGAUCUUCCAAUAUUGGAUCUCAAAUUUAUCUUGAUGUCUGGGUACCACAAGCAGAGAAGGGGGCCAAUAGGAGGCAGAUCAGAAUAUCCAUUCCUUAAGACACUGAUCAGAAUAUCCACAGUGUUCACGAGUACUUGUUCAAAAUACCACUUAGCCUCAUGUAAAUUUCAGUUGCAGGAUUCACAUUGUUGUAUAUAUUUCAACAAUCCCAAAGUCUGAGAGUCAGUGGCUCAGAUGUUGUUGUAAACAACCCCAUUGAAGAAGAUAAGUGGUUACCCAAACCUUGUUGCUGGUUGUGAAGGGGCCCCUAUAACAGUUCAAGCUUCAGGGCCCCCAAAAUGUAGGUCCACCACUGUACACGCAUGGUUCAAUGCAACUGGAUUGAGCUACCUAAUGCUGAGUAUUGUUAUAGGUUUUUUGGGGGGGGCAGAUUCCCCUAAAUUCCUGGGUGCCAACUCCUUCCCUUGGAUUUAGUAAAAGCUAGACUUAAUCAAGGUUUGAUUAAACUUUGCCAAACAAAGAAACCCACUAGAUUCAGUUGUGCUAAUGAGCCAAUCCAGCUCCGCAAAAUUAAAUGGAUGGACCAUUAGCAGAGGACAAAGGCCAGUGAUGGUGCAAGAAGGAAACCAUCAAAGGCAAAGGGGAGUGGGGGCCCUUCUUUGCUGGGUGCUAGUGGGCAGAGGCACAGGCCAAAUUUGGGGUUUCAAUUUUGAAUGACGUAGGCUGCGGGAGGUCCUUGGAGUUGGUCAGCAGCGAGACGGAGAAGGAGGUGCAGAAUUCCAUUUGAGCUGGGGAUGACAGACUGAAAAUUAGAGACACAGAGGAUGGCUUUUUGCUGUCUCCUAAGCAGGGAAGCUUGACCUUCAUAGGAUGUGAAUGCUCUGCAACCCGUCCAUCUAGGUUCAGGCUGUAUAUAUGUGUAAAUAGAAGCAUAUAUGCAUAUUUCUGAAAUAAACAUGAACCUUGGGUAAGCGCCUGGAAUUCUCUGGAAUCCCUAGAAUCUCACACUGUUUGGAGAUGGGGUGGCACAGAAUGGUAUUAUGUGGUCACUGAAGCUGCUCUUUGGGCGUUUUUUGUUUUUUACCCUCUUAGAUUUCCCCUAAAAUAUGUGGGGGGUUGGGGGGAUAUUUCUGCAAAUCUUGGGGGGGUUCCCCCGCCCAUGCUGAUACCUCCCUCUUAUUUUUCAGUGACAGCAUAUUCCCUGCACUCUUUUUGACGCUCAUCAUCCGAUUUUGCUCUUUGAGGGAGUAAUAUUCUGUUGCUGCUGUCGAGAAAUAAAAAUGAACAUGGUUUACGUCUAAAGAACCCAAAUGUGUAGACACCAUUUACUCAGCCAGUCAGAGUUUUGAAAGAAGCAGUGAAAGACGUUUGCUUCAGGGUACUGAGCUCAUUAGGCAAAUUGGAUGUAGAAGGCCUAUGAAGGGAUCCUCCAUACAUAAUGUUCCUUCCUGAAAAGGCCCUGAGCUGCCUCUUUGCUCCUGCCUGACCAGUUGUUGUUUUUUAAGUCUUUUAUUAACUUUCAACAUAACGAUUAUCAAAACAAAUCAUCUUCAUUAUUUCCCCCCUUUUUCCCUCCCCUCCCCUAAGAACCCUCUCUCCCUCCCCCCAAGACUUCCCUCAGCUCCUCUGUCUGAUUUCUCAACUCAUGUUAUUCUCUGCAUACUGUAAAAUGGUAUAUAUCCUUUUAUUAUCUGUCUACUAUAUUAACCCUCAAUAAAUUUGUGUAUGCUUAUUCAAAA